GUGGGGAAUAUUGGACAAUGGGCGAAAGCCUGAUCCAGCCAUGCCGCGUGUGUGAAGAAGGUCUUCGGAUUGUAAAGCACUUUAAGUUGGGAGGAAGGGCAGUAAGUUAAUACCUUGCUGUUUUGACGUUACCGACAGAAUAAGCACCGGCUAACUUCGUGCCAGCAGCCGCGGUAAUACGAAGGGUGUAAGCGUUAAUCGGAAUUACUGGGCGUACAGCGCGCGUAGGUGGUUUUGUAAGUUGGAGGUGAAAUCCCCGGGCUCAACCUGGGAACUGCCUCCAAAACUACUGAGCUAGAGUACGGUAGAGGGUAGUGGAAUUUCCUGUGUAGCGGUGAAAUGCGUAGAUAUAGGAAGGAACACCAGUGGCGAAGGCGACUACCUGGACUGAUACUGACACUGAGGUGCGAAAGCGUGGGGAGCAAACAGGAUUAGAUACCCCGGUAGUCC
rnacentral:rRNA from 1 species